GAGUUUCAUAACUGCCGUGAGUCACUUCCCUUCACAGAAGACAUGGCAGAGGGACAAGCGCUCUGAGUCCUAUCAGUGAGGGUGGACUUAGGUGCGUUUCCAGGCAUUCUUCACUGGAGUCCGCUCCAAGUUCUCUCCACCGGAAGGAUGUGCUGUGGAUGUUUGUGCUGAAGGCAUGUCAAGGUUCAGAAGAGGGAACAGAACCCCCCUGGACCCAGGAGGAGGAGGUUGCAGUGAGCUGAGAUCACACCACUGCACUUCAGUUUGGGCGACAAAGCGAGACUCCGUCACA
rnacentral:lncRNA from 10 species